rnacentral:rRNA from 1 species
UCACUCCCAACCUGUGAACAUACCUAUACGUUGCCUCGGCGGAUCAGCCCGCGCCCCGUAAAACGGGACGGCCCGCCCGAGGACCCCUAAACUCUGUUUGUGGAACUUCUGAGUAAAACAAACAAAUAAAUCAAAACUUUCAAACGGAUCUCUUGGUUCUGGCAUCGAUGAAGAACGCAGCAAAAUGCGAUAAGUAAUGUGAAUUGCAGAAUUCAGUGAAUCAUCGAAUCUUUGAACGCACAUUGCGCCCGCCAGUAUUCUGGCGGGCAUGCCUGUUCGAGCGUCAUUUCAACCCUAUCAACAAGCUCAGCUUGGUGUUGGGACUCGCGGUAACCCGCGUUCCCCAAAUCGAUUGGCGGUCACGUCGAGCUUCCAUAGCGUAGUAAUCAUACACCUCGUUACUGGUAAUCGAUCGAACGUCGCGGCCACGCCGUUAAACCCCAACUUCUGAAUGUUGACCUCGGAUCAGGUAGGAAUACCCGCUGAACUUAAGCAUAGGACCCCU